GUUUGAUCCUGGCUCAGGACGAACGCUGGCGGCGUGCCUAAAACAUGCAAGUCGAACGCGAUGGCCCUUCGGGGCCUGGGAGUGGCGAACGGCGGAGUAAUACGUAAGCAACGUGCCCUGAAGACUGGGAUAUACCGGGGAAACCCGGAGCAAUACCGGAUGUGGCCGUUCCGAGGCAUCUCGGAACGAUUAAAUGGUUUUUCGCUUCAGGAGCGGCUUACGGCCUAUCAGCUAGUUGGUGAGGUAACGGCUCACCAAGGCUUCGACGGGUAACUGGUCUGAGAGGACGACCAGUCCGAGUGGGACUGAGACACGGCCCACACACCUACGGGUGGCAGCAGUUGGGAAUCUUGCACAAUGGGGGAAACCCUGAUGCAGCGACGCCGCGUGGAGGAUGAAGGAUCUAGGUCUGUAAACUCCUUUUGCCAAGAAAGACUUAGGACGGUACUUGGCGAAUAAGCUCCGGCUAACUACGUGCCAGCAGCCGCGGUAAUACGUAGGGAGCAAGCGUUGUCCGGAUUUACUGGGCGUAAAGGGCGCGUAGGCGGUCUGUUAAGCGUGAAGUGAAAUCUCCAGGGCUCAACCCGGAAACUGCUUUGCGAACUGGCAGACUAGAGGAAGGCAGAGGUGAAUGGAAUUCCUGGUGUAGCGGUGACAUGCAUAGAUAUCAGGAGGACCACCCGAGGCGAAGGCGGUUCACUGGGCCUUAUCUGACGCUGAGGCGCGAAAGCGUGGGUAGCAAACAGAAUUAGAUACUCUGGUAGUCCACGCCCUAAACGAUGGAUACUAGGCGUCGGGGGUAUCGACCCCUCCGGUGCCGUAGCUAACGCAUUAAGUAUCCCGCCUGGGGAGUACGACCGCAAGGUUGAAACUCAAAGGA
rnacentral:rRNA from 1 species